rnacentral:lncRNA from 1 species
GUCCCAGGCGAUGAGAAGGGGCUGAGGAGGCGUAGGGGCUUUGCUGUGCGGCCCCGCACCUCCUCCCCGCCGCUCGGGAGGGGCUGCUCAGGGCGGCUCCAUGCAUAAUUUACUGCUUUGCUGCAGUGGUUCCAGCCUGAGAGCUUUGAAGUGCUUGUAUGAAGGGAAGAAAUGCUGUUGUGUUUUUGCUCUUCUGUAAUGCUUUGGGCAGGAGCCUUAAAGGGGUAGAAUUGAGAUCGAUAAGAAGGAAGAUUAAGUGAUAGGUUGUCUGUAGCUGUUUGGGCACAUAAUUUACCACUGGGGCAAAGAUUUGGCAUAAGUGAGAAAGAAAGACAGUACCACUGCUUCAUCCUUGCUGUGACAUCAGCUCCCUACAGGUAUUCGGUCAGAUCCCUUUGCCACUGCCCACUCUGUUCCCUGUCUGUAGGAAGGAAUGCUUCUGCAAAUGAGUACCGCAGCUCUUCUCCCAGGGAACCCCCCCAUCUUAUGGCACUGUGCUGAGGGAGCUGCCUGUGUUUGAUGCUUCUUUUGUGUGAAUGGCAGCUGCAGCCAAAAGCAGGAGUGGUGAGGCAGUGGGACAGGUUGCCCAGAGAGGCGGUGGUGCCCCAUCCCUGCAGACAGCCAAGGUCAGGCUGGACGGGGCUCUGAGCACUGCUGGAGCUGUGGCUGUCCCUGUGCACUGCAGGGAGUGGCACCGGGCGGCCUCUGAGGGUCCCUUCCAACUCAAACCAUUCUGUGAUUGUAUGACACAUCCAGGAGACCUAUUACUUAAUUGCUUAAUUACUACAAAUGCAGAGUUUGUGGUCCUGUGCACUGCAGGCUCUGCAUUAAGGGAAAGGCAACCAAUGCUCCUGGUCAGAAAUGGGCUCAUAGUGCUUUGGUUUUGAUUUCUUUUGGAUGUAAUAAAGCUGUUCUGCCUCACCGUACCAGCAGACGGGGACACAGAUUAACACACACUGAAUUGACCCUGGCUCAUUACUUGCUUACAUGGGGAAAUAACAACAGGUUUGGAAUACGUAAUCAGUCCAUUAGAAGGCCCUUUCCUACCAUUAGAAAUUCUGGGGUAUCGACACUAUGGGUUUUUAAGAGCAAUCAAUCUAGAUGGGUGCCAGGUGUGGCUGGAAGGUGACUUAGCAAGGGCUGUGCAGAGGUUCCUUACAAAGGGGUGCAUUUGCCGAAGGACUUGAGAAAAAUAUCAUCUUCUUGAUCCAUGUUUGGAAGGCUUUCAAGACCUCAGGUUUUAGAAAUGCAUCAAUGUUUUAUUUGAUUUUAAUGGGAACAAACGUUCCCGAGAGGCUUCAUUCUAUGAAAACUCUGCCAUUUCUCAUCCAUGUGCCAUUUCUCAGUUUUCCCUUGGUUUGGAAAUACAGCAGCGAUUUCAUGUUUCAAA